rnacentral:rRNA from 1 species
AUGCAGAUGCAGCUGUAUAUCCUGCAGCAUGCCGUGUCUUUGGUUCAGAGGGAGGAGGACCGCCCAGACAUCUUCUCUUGGCCUAGUGAUGCCUCGGGUGCCUACACGACCAAAUCGACCUAUAAGCGGCUGUCUCUUGGCCUCACCUACUUCGAGCCGGCCAGCCUCAUCCGGAAAUGCUGGACACCUCUUAAGCGCAAAAUAUUCACGUGGUUAGCUGCUCAAUACUGGGUCUGGACCAGCGACCGACGUGGGCGACAUGGGCUACAGAACCAGACUUCUACAUGUUGCACAUGCUUGCAAGACGUGGACAAGGUGGACCACAUUGUGUUUCAAUGCGGCUUUGCACGGGAGUUUUCCUUUCUAUUGGUUUUAGUUGCGGGAAUUCUCACCGAGAGAAUUUAUCUAGGCCGGUCCUCGGACGGCAAGAAUGCCUCGAUGACUACCAUGCCCAGUGGCAACAGGGCGAUGGACUUCUCUGGCGAUACCUGUGGUGGGUGUGGACUUGCUCUGGAACGCGAGGAUUUUCUCUGCCGCCGCGCCCCCGCCCCCGCCCCCGGCUCCGCGGACUCGCUCCGCCGUGCCGUGCCGAAUCUGUACGAGAUCGACAUGAUCCGCCACAUCUCACGCCUCGGGAGCAGAGAGACACAAAGAAACAGCUGGUACAGGCGGGAAAGGAACCAAAAAGACAGACACCGGCGGCCAACCGAAGCUCAAUGA